CCUACGGGAGGCUGCAGUGGGGAAUAUUGCACAAUGGGGGAAAGCCUGAUGCAGCGACGCCGCGUGAGCGAUGAAGUCUUUCGGGAUGUAAAGCUCUAUCAGCAGGGAAGAAAAUGACGUUACCUGACUACGAAGCCACGGCCAACGACGUGCCAGCAGCCGCGGUAAUACGUAGGGGGCAAGGGUGAGCCGGAUUUACUGGGGGUAGAGGGAGCGGAGACGGUCGGGCAAGCCAGAUGUGAAAGCCCGGGGCUCAGCCCCGGGACUGCAUUUGGAACUGUAAGGCUAGAGUGUCGGAGAGGCAGGCGGAAUUCCUGGUGUAGCGGUGAAAUGCGUAGAUAUUAGGAGGAACACCAGUGGCGAAGGCGGCCUGCUGGACGAUGACUGACGUUGAGGCUCGAAAGCGUGGGGAGCAAACAGGAUUAGAUACCCUAGUAGUC
rnacentral:rRNA from 1 species